GAGGUUAUUAGAAUUUAGAAGCUCAAACUUGUUAUACGAAAGAAGCCUCACAUGGGUUCAAAAUUUAUUCUUGGAACUACAUUCUUUUUGUUCUUGAUAUCAUUUUCCAUAAAAGCCAGAGCUGCAGAUUUUGAUAUCAAGAAGUAUGGAGCCAAGGCUGACGGCAAGACAGAUGAUAGCCAGGUAAAACUUUUGUGCACAUUAUACAAAUGUGAUAUUUCUCUUCCCAGAUAUUUAGUACGUUGUAAAUGUUGUCAAACUAUGAAUGCGGGCGUAUAUCUUGACAUCUUAGUAACCUUUUGAGUAUGCUAUUGAUUUUAGGCUAUUAAUAGUGCUUGGAAAGAAGCAUGCGCAUCCACAACUCCGAGCACGGUUGUGAUAGCAAAAGGAAACUACAUGGCUGGUCCAGUGAAGUUUCAAGGGCCCUGCAAAGCACCGGUUAGCAUUCGGGUUGAAGGAACCCUGCAGGCUCCGGCAGAGCCAGAAAAGCUCAAGUCACAAGAUGGUUGGGUUGUUUUCCGAAAUAUUGAUGGGUUAACAGUCUCAGGAGGUGGCACUUUUGAUGGCCAAGGAUCAGUAGCUCGGUCCAAAAAUGAUUGUGCCAAAACUGGAAAAUGCAACUCACUGCCUAUAGUAAGUUUUUGAAAUUUGAAGUCCCCGUUUUUUGGAUCAAUUUCUUGUGAGCUAGAAACAGAGGCUAACAAAUAGAAUUUGCUCAAUUGGGUUCCUUGAACGCAGAACAUAAGAUUCACAGGGCUUACCAAUUCACACAUUCAAAACAUAACAACUUUGAACAGCAAGCUGUUCCACAUAAACGUCUUGAACUGCAAAAACCUGACACUUCAACAUGUGAUCAUCACCGCCCCUGGUGAAAGCCUAAACACAGAUGGAAUCCACAUUGGCCGGUCAUCGAACAUCAACAUCACCGGCGCAGAGAUCAAAACCGGCGAUGAUUGCAUCUCUCUUGGCGAUGGAAGCCAGCAAAUAAACAUUGAAAAGGUGAAGUGCGGGCCGGGCCACGGUAUCAGCAUUGGGAGCCUAGGCAGGUACCAUGAUGAACAACCUGUCACAGGAGUCACAGUGAGAAACUGCACCAUAUCAAACACUUCAAAUGGCGUGAGGGUCAAGACAUGGCCAGCUUCUCCAAAUGGUGUGGCCUCAGAUUUGCACUUUGAGGACAUAAUUAUGGAAAAUGUGAAGACCUCCCCUGUUCUUAUAGACCAAGAAUACUGUCCAAAUGGCCAAUGCCAAGCAAAAAUCCCGUCGAAAGUUAAGAUCAGCAAUGUGAGCUUCAAGAACAUUAGGGGCACUUCUGCUGAUCCUGUUGUUGUGAAGCUUGCUUGUAGCAAAGGCAUUCCUUGCCAGAAUGUGCAAAUUAGUGACAUCCAUUUGACAUACAAUGGGAAAAAUGGUGCUGCCACAUCUGUAUGUACUAACGUCAAGCCCACUAUGACUGGCCAAAUUUUUCCACCUGCUUGUGCAAAGACUGCAGCUUAAUUUGCUGCAGCUUUAAGGUGAUUUAAUUGCAUCUUAAAGAGAUGAUUAAAAGAAAUUAGUAGGAAUUUAGAUGAAAAUAAUCUGCAGGGCGCCCCUUCCAUGCUCAAUUGGAAUGGUGGGUGGUGGACUACACAUAUGCAACAGUAUAGAUGUCAUCUUCUGUAUACAUGUAUUAUGGAUUUAGAUUAAUGUACUAUUGUUAUUCAUGGGAAAGAAAUAGUAGAGAGAUGUAAAACUUACUCACUGUUAAUCAUUCUCAACAUCACUAUUUACUUGAUCCACCAAACAA
rnacentral:lncRNA from 1 species